AUUGAACGCUGGCGGCAGGCCUAACACAUGCAAGUCGAACGAGUGGCGGACGGGUGAGUAAUUUCUUGGAAACUGCCUGAUGGAGGGGGAUAACUACUGGAAACGGUAGCUAAUACCGCAUACCAUCAUAUGUGCCCAGAUGGGAUUAGCUAGUUGGUGGGGUAACGGCUCACCAAGGCGACGAUCCCUAGCUGGUCUGAGAGGAUGACCAGCCACACUGGAACUGAGACACGGUCCAGACUCCUACGGGAGGCAGCAGUGGGGAAUAUUGCACAAUGGGCGAAAGCCUGAUGCAGCAAUGCCGCGUGUAUGAAGAAGGUCUUCGGGUUGUAAAGUACUUUCAGCGGGGAGGCGUUACCCACAGAAGAAGCACCGGCUAACUACGUGCCAGCAGCCGCGGUAAUAC
rnacentral:rRNA from 1 species